rnacentral:rRNA from 1 species
CGGGUGAGUAAUGCAUAGGAAUCUACCUAGUAGUAUAGGAUAGCCACUAGAAGUGGUGGGUAAUACUGUAUAAUCCCUGCGGGGGAAAGAUUUAUCGCUACAUGAUGAGCCUAUGUUAGAUUAGCUAGUUGGUGGGGUAAUGGCCUACCAAGGCAGUGAUCUAUAGCUGGUCUGAGAGGAUGAUCAGCCACACUGGAACUGAGACACGGUCCAGACUCCUACGGGAGGCAGCAGUGGGGAAUAUUGGACAAUGGGCGCAAGCCUGAUCCAGCUAUGCCGCGUGAGUGAGGAAGGCCUUAGGGUUGUAAAACUCUUUCAGUGGGGAAGAUAAUGACGGUACCCACAGAAGAAGUCCCGGCAAACUCCGUGCCAGCAGCCGCGGUAAUACGGAGGGGGCAAGCGUUGUUCGGAAUUAUUGGGCGUAAAGGGCAUGUAGGUGGUUUGGUUAGUUAAAGGUGAAAUGCCAGGGCUUAACCG